rnacentral:lncRNA from 7 species
AAUUGUGACAAGAAAGCUGCAGAGCGUGAGGUUGUGAUAAGCACUGGUGUGUACUGCUAUCGUGUGGAUGUCAUGAUGUGUAAGCAAAGAAAUGUAGCAACAAGCAACUAACCCAUGUGGGCUGCCACCCUCCUCACGUUGCCUGCUGAGCAUGGGCAAAGCACGCCUUUGCGAGGGGAUCGGCCCUGUCACACAGAAUUUGCUGAUGCUGCAGCAUUUCCCUGCAGCUGUUGUAGGUGGAUUGUCGACAAUGGUUGUUAUGCAAACUCUGAGCACUGGCUUCAGGAGCUUCUUGGAAACCUGCAAUGAGUAAUCUUCAUGUUUCUGCCAGGUCUACAAAGAGGGAGGGUGCAGUUUUGCCACAGGGCUGUUCAGAUUUUUUUCCUCCUCUCCUUUUCCAUAUGGGUAAGAAUAAAGUGAAGAAACAACAUUUUCAGAGAAGAAAGACUUGGAAAGAGUUUCUGUUUUCUGGGAGUCUGCUACAGCUGUUAAUUUGUGGAAAACCUCAGUGGAAAGUAAGCAAUAUGGCAGCAUCACUUUACACGAGAAUUCAGUGAUGGCCUUGCUCCAAGCUGUGGCUGAUUUAGGUUCUUGGCUUGCGCAGCCAAAGCUUCAUGUAGUGUCAUGCUUUUUUAUAGAUAAUGUUGAUACAGCUGUGGAAGGCUCUGAUGUUCUUUUUUUUUUUUUUAACAUGGAAUUGUCGUCAUUCAAUCAAGCUUAAGUAUUGUGGAGCUGUGAUGUUGUUUGUCUUUGGUUGUUAGUUGUUGGCGGGUGAGUCCGAGACGGGCCGAGAUGUUGUUUGGGAAAAAGAAAAGACUCCCUCCCUUCCUCCCUGCCUUCUCCACAGAAAUGCACACAGACCAUAACUUCCAUCCAAAAAUGCAGGAAUGCUGAGAAAAAUUGGAGCUGGACUCGAACAUUGCGGGCUGGGCUCCCCCACUCCCCGGCCUCUCCAAAGCACGCACGCUCUUCUCUUCCUGUAGACUUUGUUCCUCUCCAGCAUUUGUCAUGCAUAGUUGGUGGCACAUCAAGAUUUUGAAUACUGUACUGAAUGCAACAACCUCUUUUUUUCUUGGAUGGACAUUUUGUUUGCGGGGAAUACAGCAUGGUGCUCAGCUGUCUGGACAGAAAUGAACAUUGAAUGAAAUGAAAUUUUCAGCUAUGUGACAGCUAUUAGAUCAGAGAUUAGUUUUCCAGUAGAAAUGUCCAAUUAUUUAAACCUCUCCGGUAGAUGAAAGAGCUUUUGACAAUCUGUUUUGCUGAAAAGCCCUGCAAUUCGUUUGGCAUAGAUUAGAUGACCUAUUAGAGAUGAGAAAAAGGGAAAAGGAUUUAUAAUUAAUGUCAGCCCAGCUGUUAACUUGGGGAGUAUUGCUGAGUUGUAGCACAAGACGUAUCUUUCAGCUAUUUCUGCAGUGACGAUUCAUGUGUAUAUUGCAACAUGUGUCAGCAGCCUUCUGUACAGCUGUGCUGGGUUGAAGGGACUAGAGUUCCCCAUUCCUAGGUAACGCAUUAGCAUGCACUGCUGCUUCUCCAAGGCCCUGCCUCCUUUUUGAAAGCAGGCUAUUAUGAAUGGGUAAGCCCCAUGUUUUUCCAGUGCUACCUUGUCACACAAUGACUGAUCCGCUCACCUCCGUAUCUCUGGGCUAUAUGACUUUGAGUGUAUCUUCCUUGCCAACUUGGCAAGGUAUCGUGUUUCUUUCCCUGAGGGUGACUUAGGGCAGAAUCCUUGAAUCCUUCAGAGUUUCCUGGAGCAUCUGGAAAGAAGAGGAAAACCAGAGAUGGGCCAGAAAGAGGCAGGCAGAGAAAGAUGAAAGAAUUUGGGGGUGGGAAGUACUUGCUUUUGGAAUAAUCUUCCUCCUAGAUGGCCUAAGGCAAAGUAAUUUACACUUUUUGGUAACGUGCAGGAUGGCCCAGCCCUUGCUCUUAUGAGUAAACAUUUCAAAGGUGCCUGCAGGGCCCUCUAUUUAUGUUUUUAUAAGCUACUUAGUCUCCUUUGAGUCUCGGGCUAUAUCCUCACUGCCAAUAGUGGAGUUAGCUCGAAGUGUAGUAGUGUCUUUUGGAGACACCUGAGCUAGACUGAAGCAGCUCAGCUGCGAGAAGUAGUUUACUCCACAGCAGCGCAUAUGUCAAAGCACUGUACCUGCCCGACGCAUUAUCUUGUCCUGUGCCAACUCUUGUUUCAAGUAAGGCUUUCACUGCAACCCUGCCUUCUCUGCAGCUGCCCACUGAAGCUCAAGGACAUAAAACAGUCACAGUAGGGUAUGGGGUUGGGAGCUGGAGUCACUUUGGUGCUUUCGAAAACGUUUUUUAUGGCUAAACCCACAUUCCCUGUUAGCACUGUUAAAUGCUUUCCUGUUUUCCUCUUCCCCUUGAACUCACACUGCUGUUCUAACCGAGAAUCGUGUUUUGUUUCUAAUGACAGAGCAAAGGUGCCAAAAUAUUUCAGUAGCUCCCCUAGGAACAUCUGCAACUUCUUUAGCUAUUUUCACAGCUGGCCAUAACUUUAUAUUAUUUCUGAAUGCUCAUAGCACCAAAUCUGGGAUCCUGGAGGAGAACAAUGGCUAAUUUCCUUGUAUUGGAAUUUAGAAUUUGCAAAACGAUGCACUAGCAACUUUGAAUAAAUGCUGAGAG